UUCCCUACGGGGCGCAGCAGUGAGGAAUAUUGGUCAAUGGCCGGAGGGCUGAACCAGCCAAGCCGCGUGAGGGAGGAAGGCGCAGAGCGUCGCAGACCUCUUUUGCCGGGGGACAAAAGGCCGGACUCGUCCGGUCCUGAGGGUACCCGGAGAAAAAGCAUCGGCUAACUCCGUGCCAGCAGCCGCGGUAAUACGGAGGAUGCGAGCGUUAUCCGGAUUUAUUGGGUUUAAAGGGUGCGCAGGCGGAGGUGCAAGUCAGCGGUCAAAUUGCGGGGCUCAACCCCGUACUGCCGUUGAAACUGCAU
rnacentral:rRNA from 1 species